AGUGAACGCUGGCGGUAGGCCUAACACAUGCAAGUCGAACGGCAGCACAGUAAGAGCUUGCUCUUACGGGUUGCGAGUGGCGGACGGGUGAGGAAUACAUCGGACUCUACUUUUUCGUGGGGGAUAACGUAGGGAAACUUACGCUAAUACCGCAUACGACCUACGGGUGAAAGCAGGGGAUCUUCGGACCUUUCGCGAUUGAAUGAGCCGAUGUCGGAUUAGCUAGUUGGCGGGGUAAAGGCCCACCAAGGCGACGAUCCGUAGCUGGUCUGAGAGGAUGGUCAGCCACACUGGAACUGAGACACGGUCCAGACUCCUACGGGAGGCAGCAGUGGGGAAUAUUGGACAAUGGGCGCAAGCCUGAUCCAGCCAUACCGCGUGGGUGAAGAAGGCCUUCGGGUUGUAAAGCCCUUUUGUUGGGAAAGAAAAGCAGCAGGUUAAUACCCCGCUGUUCUGACGGUACCCAAAGAAUAAGCACCGGCUAACUUCGUG
rnacentral:rRNA from 1 species